UAAACGCUUCACGUGUAGUGGCCGACCUU
rnacentral:sRNA from 1 species